CAGGCGCGCAGUAGCGGCAACGGAACCGUCUUCGUACCGGAGUGUGAUGACCGCGGCCGGUAUCGCCGGUACCAGUGCUUCGGAGUGCCCGAGACAUCAUGGUAUUGUUUCUGCGUAAGUGUGCGUACCGGCAAGAUACUCCAAGCUACCACCCACAACAACAGCGUACCACAGUGCACCAGCAUGAUACUCCCCACUAAACCAUGGCCUCAUUGCAGGCAACCCCAAGAGGAGCGAGAGUUCCUAGACGCGCUACUUGACCAUUUGUUG
rnacentral:lncRNA from 1 species